GGUGCUGUGGCUCAAAGUGGUAGAGCAUUAGCCUUGAAAACAAAAGCUCAGAGACAGCACCC
rnacentral:tRNA from 1 species